rfam:Aedes albopictus isolate Foshan contig67480, whole genome shotgun sequence.
CGUUCGUUGGCUUAGUUGGUUAAAGCGCCGGCCUUGCGAAUUCGGUGUCGUGGGUUCAAAUCCCACCAGAACGC